rnacentral:rRNA from 1 species
UACGGGGGGGGCUAGCGUUGUUCGGAAUCACUGGGCUUAAAGGGUGCGUAGGCGGGCUGCCAAGUUUGAGGUGAAAUCCUCCGGCUCAACCGGGGAAGUGCCUUGAAUACUGGCGGUCUGGAGGGAGGUAGGGGCGUGCGGAACUAACGGUGGAGCGGUGAAAUGCGUUGAUAUCGUUAGGAACUCCGGUGGCGAAGGCGGCACGCUAGACCUCUUCUGACGCUGAGGCACGAAAGCCAGGGGAGCGAACGGG